rnacentral:rRNA from 1 species
AUGCCGCGUGUGUGAAGAAGGCCUGCGGGUUGUAAAGCACUUUCAGUAGAGAAGAAAAGCCUAGGGUUAAUACCCCUGAGUCUUGACGUAACCUACAGAAGAAGCACCGGCUAACUCCGUGCCAGCAGCCGCGGUAAUAAUCGAAUUCCCGCGGCC